AGCUGUUAUUCUUCCUAUAUCAUACAGGAGCAGGCUGAGGCUGAGAGAGACCUGCAUGGUUUCAUGUUGGAUCAGGGGCACAUGCUAGAAGUCUCCCAUUGUCCAUCUCAGCCUCCCAAGGGCUGGGUUAUGCUGCUCUCUGCGUGGUCUGGCCAGCCCCACUUCACCAGUGAGCUGAUCUCCGUGGAGCUGACCUGAAGCACCCUCAAGGCAGUCCUGGGCCUCAUUUUGGAUGAAGAGUGUGGGCUGCACAUGGUGACAGCAUGCAGGUCUGAAAAGCUGUUCUCAACAACCCAAUCAUGAAAUGGGCAAAGGACAUGAAGAGAAAUCUCACAGAGGAAAACAUAGACCUGGCCAACAUGCAUAUGAGAAAAUGCUCCACAUCACUUGCCAUCAGGGA